rnacentral:lncRNA from 10 species
AUUUAGUGCUGUCCCACCUCCGGCUUACGCUUCUGAGUAUAUUCUCCACUCCAUCACACCUCUUUUUCCAAAGAUGCAGUGCAAAGAAAGUAUAAUCUCUGGAGUAAUUAAAGCUCAGUGAGGAAAUGAUAUCACCUGAUGGCCCUAUGAAGCAUUCAGCAAUAAAAGGUGAGUUGCCCAAAAUGCAUUUACCCUGAACAGGAAUACAAUGAAACUACCAAGUUUUAUCUUUAUAAUGAUUCGUGGCUUAUUAUUUUGUUGUUUGUAUAUGUUCUGUUUCCCACAUCAGUGUUGUCUUACAUUAUUAUCUGUCUUAACUUAGACUCUGUUUUCUAAAUUGCUCUGUGCAAUUAAAUGCUUUGUGAUCAUAAUAAAAAGCAUCAUGAUAACUUUUAGACUAGAGGUUUCCAUACAAAGCUGUAUCCCAUGGAGAGCAGCUACUGGCACUGAACAAUGGCUAGAGAUACUCUACAUAGGGAAGGGGCUGACAAUUAUUCAGUUUAAAUCAAUCACUUGUGCAUAUAUCUCGAUAGAACACUAGGCUAGUUCGUUGUGUGUGUGUGUGUGCGUGUGUGUGUGUGCAUGUGUGUGUGUGUGUAUGUAUGUAAUUCACUGCUUACUCUAUAACAGAGAGAAUAUCAAUUAAAUUGGGCCAUAUAGGAAGAUCAAUUAAUAUAUUUGUUAAUUGAGGAACUUUUGAUGGCCUUGUUGAUCCCCUAUGGUUUGAUCUUUAAAUCUGUAGUGUUUAUUAGACUCACUACAGACUCUCUGUAAAUCGUAAGACAUUUACAUCUAUAAAUGCAUUUUAAAACAUCAAAUUUUAAAUUUUGCAGCACUAAAAUGUGUCAGACAAUAUUCUCAAUUAACUUGCAUUAAUAUUUGCUUAGUGUCUGAUAAAAUGUGUAGUGUAGGACAAAAUGUCCUACAUAAUCAACAAAACACUCUUCCAAAAUUAAACAUAAUAUUUGUUAAGAUGGUCACUGUUUUUUUAAAAAAAGAGCACUACUACACAGAUCAAGCCAAUGAGCCCCAGUCAGUUGACAGAAGUACAUAUUUGGGACUCCUUCUCUAAAUUUUUUAUAAAAAUACCUGAAGAAGAUGAAUAGUCAUUUGCUUUCUUAUUUUAAAAGAUCUGUCCCCCCAACUAACUUUUUAAUCUUCUACUUGUUACCAAAUACGAUAAAAAGGAGAGGGGGAAAAAAGCAGACACCAGUUUCAUUCGUGAAUGUAAACUUUGGUUUUUUGGUUUUCUUUUCUUUUUUUUUUUGAGACAGGGUCUCACUCUGUCACCUAAGCCGGAGUGCAGUGGAACGAUCUCAGCUCACUCACUGCAACCUCCACCUCCCAGCUCAAGCCAUCCUCUUACCUCAACCUCCCAAGUAAUUGGGAUUACAGGCGCAGCCACCACGCCUGGCUUUUUUUAGUAGAGAGAGGGUCCAUGUUGCCCAAGCUGACCUCUAACUCCUGGGCUCAGGUGAUCCACCCACCUCAGCCUCCCGAAGUGCUGGGAUUACACAUUGCACCUGGCUGAACUUCUGAAAUGAAUGAAGUGCUCCUAAAUGAAUGAACAUCUUGAAUGGCAAAUUAAGUUUCAAGUGACAUAUAAGCCAACAAGUAUUUCUAAAUUUCUAAAAUAAAUUUCCAAAUUCGAAGUCAUUCUUUCUUUUCUUUCUUUUUUUUUUUUUGUUGUUGUUGUUUGUUUGUUUUUUUGUGUGUGUGUUUUUGCCGGUCUGUUUUUAAUCGUGGCAGCGCCUCACACACACAUUCAGGGUUCAGAUCUUGUUCAAAGCUGCGAUGUCGACACUCUGCACAUGCUCCUCAAACUUGGUGAUCUCCUCCUCCAGCAAGUCUGUCCCCACUUUGUCGUCCUCC